rnacentral:rRNA from 1 species
GACGAACGCUGGCGGCGUGCUUAACACAUGCAAGUCGAACGGAAAGGCCCUGCUUUUGUGGGGUGCUCGAGUGGCGAACGGGUGAGUAACACGUGAGUAACCUGCCCUUGACUUUGGGAUAACUUCAGGAAACUGGGGCUAAUACCGGAUAGGAGCUCCUGCUGCAUGGUGGGGGUUGGAAAGUUUCGGCUGUUGGGGAUGGACUCGCGGGUUAUCAGCUUGUUGGUGGGGUAGUGGCUUACCAAGGCUUUGGAGGGUAGGCGGCCUGGGAGGGGGACCGGGGACAUUGGGCCUGAGAGAGGGACCAGACUCGAACGGGGGGCAGCAGUGGGGAAUAUUGCACAAUGGGCGGAAGCCUGAUGCAGCGACGCCGCGUGCGGGAUGACGGCCUUCGGGGUGUAAACCGCUUUCGCCUGUGACGAAGCGUGAGUGACGGUAAUGGGUGAAGAAGCACCGGCUAACUACGUG